GGCAAACUUGUCAAAUUCAGUGCUUCCUUCUCUCUGGAUGUCUCUGGCCAAAGUGGUUGCAACAGUGACUGUGUAGUUCAUGGGCCCCGUGGUGUUUCAACAUGGCCACUGGGGAUAAAUAUGUGCUGCACACAAAA